ensembl:snoRNA
AUGCUUUUGUGGUUCAUAAGCGUGAUGACUGGGUUUUAUGCCGUGUGAGACGUGCCUCCCUCAGGCCUUGUUAUGACAAUUGGCAUAUUACCUAUCUGACA